rnacentral:rRNA from 1 species
GACGAACGCUGGCGGCGUGCUUAAUACAUGCAAGUCAACUGAACUUGAGGUAGUAAUAUUUCAAGGGAGGUGGCGCACGGGUGAGUAACACGUAGGUAAUCUGCCUUUAGGUCUGACAUAAUCCCGCGAAAGCGGAACUAAAAUCAGAUGAUGCAGCGGCUCGACAUCGAGACAGUUGUUAAACCUUGGGGCCUAAGGAUGAGCCUGCGUCUGAUUAGGUAGNGGCGGAGUAAAGCCACCAAGCCUGCGAUCAGUAGCUGGUCUGAGAGGAUGAUCAGCCACACUGGAACUGA